rnacentral:misc_RNA from 1 species
GUGAAUCAUCGAAUUUUUGAACGCAAAUUGCACUCUCCGGUUUUCCGGGAGAGUAUGCUUGUUUGAGGGUCUGUUUAAAAAAUAAUCGAGGCUGCUGCUGUGGUGGCUCUUCGGUAUUGGGUCUUCUUUCACCUUUCGGUUGUAAGCGACCUAAAAUUUUUUUUACGAUUUCUACGAACGUGUCUAAGAACUUCUUGUACGUUCACGACAUCGAAAUCAUAUUAGGGGUGCCUGCCGCGCCGGGUUCGCUCCCAUAAUAUGUCAUCUAAGGACCUCAGACAGGUAAGAGUG